GAAUUGCCUGAACCCAGGAGGCAGAGGUUGCAAUGAGCUGAGAUCAGCCACUGCACUCCAGCAUGGGUGACAGAGCGAGAUUCUGUCUCAAAAAAAAAAAAAAUCAAUAUAACCAAUGGCAAGGAUACCUAAUGACCUCAUGGAUCUGACUAGGGUGAUUUCCAAGUGGAAAAACAGAAAAUGCCAGCUGGAUUUUUCCAGAUGCCUAUGAGAAAAGGGCAAGAAGUGGAGACUUCCAGGAAACAUGACGGUGUUAACUGGACAUUUUUUAAAACCUCCUCCCUGAAACCUACAAAAACCAACAAAGGAACUAAUGAUUAAAAUGAAAACCAAACUGAAACUUAGAGACAGCCUUAACCUUUCCCUAUGAAUGCCAAGGAAUACUUGCCAGAUAGAAUACAACUUGAACCAAAAUGAAAUAUGAUGCUGGAGUUUGGCCACAAUUCCUGUGCUUCGGAACCAACGCAGUGCUGUGGGCCCAAGAGCCUUGCUAACACAAACCCCCCGACCCCAAGCUGAGAUCUGGCGAUGUGGUUGGACUCGGAAUGAGAAAGGUUCCUCCUGCACCACAGAUCAGCUCCAGCGGAGAGGCCUCGUGGGACCAGGUACUGCCAAUGUUAAUGAGUCCCAGCUUUUUUAUGGUGAAACAAAGGGAUUCGAUUGGAAAUAAAGCAAAUUUCUUAUCAAAGAAGAAAAUUAAAGGUAGAGAAAAGUGUGUGCUGAUACCACCCCCAACCCAUCCCUAAUCAAAUCUCAGGGCUGCCUUGAUCUUACCAUGAGCAUCAUGAAUGAGGUUUUUGAAUGCUUUUAAAUACACAAAUGAGACUCACGUCAAAUCAACGGAAUCAGAAUCUACAAAAGCGAGGCCCAGACAACAGUAGUUGAAAAAACUCCCCAUUAUGAGAUAACAUGUUUAGCCUAAUCAAUAGGCAAAAUUUAAAAGUAUUUAUAACAACCCAAUGUUGGCAGAGGUAAAAAGAAAUAAACAUGUUUAUAGGAAUUCUGAAGAAAAUGGUCAUGGGAUGGAGUCCCCAGCUCCCAGGCUCAAGGGAUUCUCUUGCAUCAGCCUCCUGAGUAGCUAGGAUUACUGGCACACACCACCAUGCCUGGCUAAUUUUUUUGUAUUUUUAGUAGAGAUGGGGUUUUGUAUUUAAGAGGCAGAAUCUCACUGUCUCCCAGGCAGGAGUGCAAUGAUGCAAUCAUAACUCACUGCAGCCUCAAACUCCUGAGCUCAAGUGAUCCUCCCACCUCAGCAUCCCAAAGUGCCGGGGUUAUAGGUGUGCACCACCAUGCCUAACUAAUUUUUUAAUCUUUUUCUGGAGACAGUGUCUCACUAUGUUGCCCAGGCACUGGUCUCAAAUGCCUGGCCUCACGUGACCCUUGAGCCUUGGCCUCCCAAAGUGCUAGGAUUAUAGGUGUGAGCCACUACCACGCCUAGCCUUGGAUCACAAAUUUUCACGUGGAGUGAUAUCCACUAGUGUAACACUCUGGAUCUCUAUAUUUCCUCGCUCACUUCUCUGAUUAGUAAAUGGAGAAAGGAAAAGGACUGUUAGAUACAAUCCUCUUGUUCUCUCUCCUCAGCUCUCCCUUCCCGCAGAGAGCACUGACUUUGACAUUGUACUUAGCCAUCACUCCCUGUGGCUGGCCAAGUGGUACAUGUCCUAAUUCUGGGUGCAACAUACCAGAACUGGCACUGUGAUCCCCGUCAACCUGACCCCAACUUCGGAGAGAGAAGAAAAGCGCAAUUUGUGAAUUCCCCUCAAGCCCAUCGGGGCAAAGUCAACAAAGAUAGAUGUAAAAAUAACAUUGGCGGCCAGGCGCGGUGGCUCACACCUGUAAUUCCAGCACUUUGGGAGGCGGAGGCAAGCAGAUCACGAGGUUAGGAGUUCGAGACAAGCGUGGCCAACAUGGUGAAACUCC
rnacentral:lncRNA from 10 species